AAUAGAUACCCGGGUAGUCCACGCCGUAAACGAUGAGUGCUAAGUGUUAGGGGGUUUCCGCCCCUUAGUGCUGCAGCUAACGCAUUAAGCACUCCGCCUGGGGAGUACGGUCGCAAGACUGAAACUCAAAAGAAUUGACGGGGGCCCGCACAAGCGGUGGAGCAUGUGGUUUAAUUCGAAGCAACGCGAAGAACCUUACCAGGUCUUGACAUCCCAUUGACCACUAUGGAGACAUAGUUUUCCCUUCGGGGACAACGGUGACAGGUGGUGCAUGGUUGUCGUCAGCUCGUGUCGUGAGAUGUUGGGUUAAGUCCCGCAACGAGCGCAACCCUUGUUCUUAGUUGCCAUCAUUUAGUUGGGCACUCUAAGGAGACUGCCGGUGACAAACCGGAAGAAGGUGGGGAUGACGUCAAAUCAUCAUGCCCCUUAUGACCUGGGCUACACACGUGCUACAAUGGACGGUACAAACGGUUGCCAACCCGCGAGGGGGAGCUAAUCCGAUAAAACCGUUCUCAGUUCGGAUUGUAGGCUGCAACUCGCCUACAUGAAGCC
rnacentral:rRNA from 1 species